rnacentral:rRNA from 1 species
CAGCAUAUCAAUAAGCGGAGGAAAAGAAACUAACAAGGAUUCCCCUAGUAACUGCGAGUGAAGAGGGAAAAGCUCAAAUUUAAAAUCUGGCAGCUUUGGUUGUCCGAGUUGUAAUCUGGAGAAGUGUUUUCAGUUCAGGACCGUGUACAAGUCUCUUGGAAUAGAGCGUCAUAGAGGGUGAGAAUCCCGUCUUUGACACGGACUACCUGGGCUUUGUGAUACACUCUCAAAGAGUCGAGUUGUUUGGGAAUGCAGCUCAAAAUGGGUGGUAAAUUCCAUCUAAAGCUAAAUAUUGGCGAGAGACCGAUAGCGAACAAGUACCGUGAGGGAAAGAUGAAAAGCACUUUGGAAAGAGAGUUAAACAGUACGUGAAAUUGUUGAAAGGGAAACGCUUGAAGUCAGUCGCGUUUGUUAGAACUCAGCUUGGCUUUUGCUUAGUGUACUUUCUAAUAAACGGGCCAACAUCGAUUUCAGUCAGUGGAUAAGGGUAAGGGGAAUGUGGCACCCUCGGGUGUGUUAUAGCCUCUUAUCGUAUACAUUUACUGGGAUCGAGGUCUGCAGCACUUGUGCUUAGGAUGUUGGCGUAAUGGCUUUAAUCGACCCGUCUUGAAACACGGACCAAGGAGUCUAACAUGCCCGCGAGUGUUAGGGUGGUAAACCCUUGCGCGUAAUGAAAGUGAAAGUUGGGACCUCUGUCAUGGGGGGCACCGACGCCCGGUCCAGAACUUCUGUGACGGUACUGCGGUAGAGCGUGUAUGUUGGGACCCGAAAGAUGGUGAACUAUGCCUGAAUAGGGUGAAGCCAGAGGAAACUCUGGUGGAGGCUCGUAGCGAUUCUGACGUGCAAAUCGAUCGUCAAAUUUGGGUAUAGGGGCGAAAGACUAAUCGA